rnacentral:rRNA from 1 species
ACAGCAGCAGCCGCGGGAAAACAGAGGGUGCGAGCGUUAAUCGGAUUUACUGGGCGUAAAGCGUGCGUAGGCGGCUUCUUAAGUCGGAUGUGAAAUCCCUGAGCUUAACUUAGGAAUUGCAUUCGAUACUGGGAAGCUAGAGUAUGGGAGAGGAUGGUAGAAUUCCAGGUGUAGCGGUGAAAUGCGUAGAGAUCCGGAGGAAUACCGAUGGCGAAGGCAGCCAUCUGGCCUAAUACUGACGCUGAGGUACGAAAGCAUGGGGAGCAAACAGGAUUAGAUACCCCCGUAGUCCCUGUCUCUUAUAC